ACAAUCAUAACUAUUAGUCUACCUCAGAUGUCUAUUCUAUUGAAUAAUUUAAAAUGUACUAAUUAUUCCCAAGUACUUUUCGUUUUCUAAAUAGUAUUAACUGACAAAAUUUAUUUGGAUUAAAAGCAUCGCCUGUCUCACACAGUGGAAGCUGAACGGCGACCUCUAGCGGUAUUUAGAGGUAACAACUUCCGGGGGAGACAUUUGGAAGUGUGUGAUCAGAAACAGACAUGAAGGAUCAGUCAGAGGAAAAGCAGGGCUGUUCUUCUUACACGUGUUGAUCUCUGAUGAUUCUACUUCAUUACAUUUACAUCAGCUACAGCAGAGUCUCUUAUCCAGGGUGAAGUACAGAAGUGCUUUAUGUCUCCAUCAGAAACAUCCUUAUGUUAGUUCAGGAGCCGUGAGUUAUCUGAUUUAUCGCCUCUCCAGCGAGCAGAAGAACACCUUCUGCAAAAACCCAGAAGGCUCAUCAGUCGCUCAUCUGGAGACGAUCAUCAGUCCAUCUGGUCAGAACUUGCUGGUGUCCAGGUGGUUCGGCUGGGCUCUGUUCUGCGGUCUGGAUCUACUCACAAACACGCACACACACACACACACACACACACACACACAGGGGGUCUGAAGGCUUUAGCAGUGUGUGAACUGUGUGUGUGUGCGUGUGUGUGUGUGUGUGUGUAGGGUUCAGCAGUGUGUUGCCGUAUGUACCUGCGCG